rnacentral:tRNA from 1 species
GGUUAUGGCUCAGUGGUAGAGCACUUGCCUAGCAUGUGUGAGGCCCUGGGUUCAAUCCCCAGCACCA